GAGCGUGUGGCAUAGUUGAUCUAGUUAUAAUAUAUUUGAGACAUAAAAAAUGUGGUGCAUACUGAAUAACGCGCGUUAUUUCUUAUAAUUUCCAUUUUAAACCGUAGAAAACCAUGAAAAAACGUUGAUGACGUCACGGGCACAUGACUAAAUUAUGUUUAUGAGUUCAUAACAAAAUAACGUCAGCCAAUCAGAUGACGCUUUACACCCAAAAUUAAAUUAUUCCUUAUUGGAGAUGAUGAUCACUAAACGGGGACUCUAUUAAAAAAGUUGAAAAUCCAAGACACUAAAAUAGCGAUCUUGUCUAAAGUUGUAUUAUUCUCAAUUAAUAAGGUAGUACUUUUACACGCAUCAAUGCUCGACUCUUUUUGAAUGAUGUUCAAAGAAUCGAAAUAGAACUCUCUCCAGUCAAUGUUUACAUAAUAAUAUAUAUUCUAUUGUUUUGAUAGUCAUUGAGACCCUUUUAACCGGAGCAACACGACAGGUGCCACAUGUGGAAUAAAUCUGCUUAUCCUUCCGGAGCACCUGAGAUACCUCCUGUUUUUGAUGGGGUUCAUGUUACUUAGUAUAUUAGUAUAUAAAAAUUAUGAACUUCAUUUAUAUUCUUGUUUUUACCACAUAGAAAGAAGCAAUACAUUUGAAUGUGUUGCUGUCCGUCUCACGCCGUUACAUUUUGGUUGCAUUUUUUCUCGGGAACUUUACUCAAUCCAUCAUGAUGCUAUACGCUGUCAUGCUUUAAAAGAUUUAAUGUUCAAAGUUCAACUUUUGCGACUUUUUAGUGUACUCCAUUCGUAUCUAUGGACCGAAGGCAGCAAUAAAUAUCUCGGAUAGUCUUAUAUUAGUCCUUAUUUUUUUCAAAAUCU
rnacentral:lncRNA from 1 species